rnacentral:rRNA from 1 species
CUACGGGUGGCUCCAGUGAGGAAUAUUGCACAAUGGGGGGAACCCUGAUGCAGCAACGCCGCGUGGAGGAUGACGCAUUUCGGUGUGUAAACUCCUUUUAUAUGUCAAGAAAAUGACGGUAGCAUAUGAAUAAGCACCGGCUAACUCCGUGCCAGCAGCCGCGGUAAUACGGAGGGUGCAAGUGUUACGCGGAAUCACUGGGCGUAAAGGACGCGUAGGCGGGUUGGAAAGUCAGGUGUGAAAUCCUACAGCUUAACUGUAGAACUGCACUUGAAACUUCUAAUCUAGAGUAUGGGAGGGGGAGAUGGAAUUAGCGGUGUAGGGGUAAAAUCCGUAGAUAUCACUAGGAAUACCUAAAGCGAAGGCGAUCUCCUGGAACAUUACUGACGCUAAGGCGUGAAAGCGUGGGGAGCAAACAGGAUUAGAUACCCUUGUAGUC